rnacentral:rRNA from 1 species
GACGAACGCUGGCGGCGUGCUUAACACAUGCAAGUCGAACGGAAAGGCUCUGCUUUUGUGGGGUGCUCGAGUGGCGAACGGGUGAGUAACACGUGAGUAACCUGCCCUUGACUUUGGGAUAACUUCAGGAAACUGGGGCUAAUACCGGAUAGGAGCUCCUGCUGCUUGGUGGGGGUUGGAAAGUUGUGGCGGUUGGGGACGGACUCGCGGCUUAUCAGCCUGUAGGUGGGGUAGUGGCUUACCAAGGCGUUGGCGGGUCGCCGGCCUGAGAGGGUGACGGGCCACAUUGGGACUGAGAAACGGCCCAGACUCCUACGGAGGGAAGCGAUGGAGAAUGUUGCGCAAUGGGCGGAAGCCUGGUGCAGCCACGCCGCGUGGGGAAUAACGGCCGUCGGGUUGGAAACCGCUUUCGCCUGUGACGGAGCGUGAGUGGCGGUAAUGGAUAAAGAAGCACCGGCUAACUACGUG